rnacentral:rRNA from 1 species
UACGUAGGGGGCAAGCGUUGUCCGGAAUCAUUGGGCGUAAAGAGCGCGUAGGCGGUCCGGUAAGUCCGCUCUGAAAGUCCGGGGCUCAACCCCGGGAGGCGGGCGGAUACUGUCGGGCUAGAGUCCGGAAGAGGCGAGUGGAAUUCCUGGUGUAGCGGUGAAAUGCGUAGAUAUCGGGAGGAACACCUGUGGCGAAAGCGGCUCACUGGACCACAACUGACGCUGAGGCGCGAAAGCUAGGGGAGCAAACAGG